rnacentral:tRNA from 1 species
GAGUAGCUCAGUUGGAUAGAGCAUCUGCCUUCUAAGCAGAGGGUCGUGGGUUCGAAUCCCGCCUC